rnacentral:rRNA from 1 species
GACGAACGCUGGCGGCGUGCUUAACACAUGCAAGUCGAACGCUGAAGCUCAGCUUUUGUUGGGUGGAUGAGUGGCGAACGGGUGAGUAACACGUGAGUAACCUGCCUCCUUCUUUGGGAUAACGCCCGGAAACGGGUGCUAAUACUGGAUAUUCACUGGUCUUCGCAUGGGGGUUGGUGGAAAGGGUUUUUCUGGUGGGGGAUGGGCUCGCGGCCUAUCAGCUUGUUGGUGGGGUGAUGGCCUACCAAGGCUUUGACGGGUAGCCGGCCUGAGAGGGUGACCGGUCACAGUGGGACUGAGAUACGGCCCAGACUACUACGGGGGGCAGAAGUGGGGAAUAUUGCACAAUGGGCGCAAGACUGAUGCAGCGACGCCGCGUGAGGGAUGGAGGCCUUCGGGUUGUGAACCUCUUUCGCUCAUGGUCAAGCCGCAACAAUGGUUGUGGUGAGGGUAGUGGGUAAAGAAGCGCCGGCUAACUACGUG